UACGAAGGGUGCAAGCGUUACUCGGAAUUACUGGGCGUAAAGCGUGCGUAGGUGGUUCGUUACGUCUGUCGUGAAAGCCCCGGGCUCAACCUGGGAAUGGCGAUGGAUACUGGCGGGCUAGAGUGCGGUAGAGGGUGGUGGAAUUCCCGGUGUAGCAGUGAAAUGCGUAGAGAUCGGGAGGAACAUCAGUUGCGAAGGCGGCCACCUGGACCAGCACUGACACUGAGGCACGAAAGCGUGGGGAGCAAACAGG
rnacentral:rRNA from 1 species